rnacentral:rRNA from 1 species
AUGGGCGGAGCCUGAUGCAGCAACGCCGCGUGCGGGAUGACGGCCUUCGGGUUGUAAACCGCUUUCGCCUGUGACGAAGCGUGAGUGACGGUAAUGGGUAAAGAAGCACCGGCUAACUACGUGCCAGCAGCCGCGGUGAUACGUAGGGUGCGAGCGUUGUCCGGAUUUAUUGGGCGUAAAGGGCUCGUAGGUGGUUGAUCGCGUCGGAAGUGUAAUCUUGGGGCUUAACCCUGAGCGUGCUUUCGAUACGGGUUGACUUGAGGAAGGUAGGGGAGAAUGGAAUUCCUGGUGGAGCGGUGGAAUGCGCAGAUAUCAGGAGGAACACCAGUGGCGAAGGCGGUUCUCUGGGCCUUUCCUGACGCUGAGGAGCGAAAGCGUGGGGAGCGAACAGGCUUAGAUACCCUGGUAGUCCACGCUGUAAACGGUGGGUACUAGGUGUGGGGUCCAUUCCACGGGUUCCGUGCCGUAGCUAACGCUUUAAGUACCCCGCCUGGGGAGUACGGCCGCAAGGCUAAAACUCAAAUGAAUUGACGGGGAAUCACUAGUGAAUUCGCGGCCGCCUGCAGGUCGACCAUAUGGGAGAGCUCCCAACGCGUUGGAUGCAUAGCUUGAGUAUUCUAWGGGGNCCNCCUAAAUA